AGGUUAAAAUAUUAAGGGCACACGAAGGAUGCCUAGGAAGUAAGAGCCGAUGAAGGACGUGGUAAGCUGCGAUAAGCUUGGUGGAGUUGCAAUCGAACUGUGAUGCCAAGAUUUCCGAAUGGAGAAAUCUGCUAAGAUGGAGUCUUAGCACGAAAGAGGGAACCGGGUGAACUGAAACAUCUAAGUAACCCGAGGAAAAGAAAGUAAAAACGAUCCCCUAAGUAGCGGCGAGCGAACGGGGGUGAGCCCAAACCGUAGAUGUGCCAAGGAUGCAGCCGUUGCAUCUACGGGGUAGCGGGAAGAUCGUCUGAAGAACUGCAAGGUAUUCGACAUUAUGAUACGCCGAACUGGAAAGGUCUGGAAAGGCCUGCCGUAGAGAGUGAAAGCCUCGUACAGGUAAACCGUAUCAAAUGUAUGAUCUCUCCCAAGUAGCACGGAACACGAGGAAUUCUGUGUGAAUCUGCGAGGACCAUAUCUCGUAAGGCUAAAUACUCUUACUUACCGAUAGCGCAUAGUACCGUGAGGGAAAGGUGAAAAGAACCCCGGGAGGGGAGUGAAAUAGAACCUGAAAUCGUGUGCUUACAAGCGGUCAGAGCCCUUUGGGGUGAUGGCGUGCCUUUUGGAGAAUGAUCCUGCGAGUUACGUUCAGUGGCAAGGUUAAGUUUAACGGAGCCGAAGGGAAACCGAGUCUGAAUAGGGCGACAUAGUCGCUGGGCGUAGACGCGAAACCUGGUGAUCUAAGCCUGUCCAGGGUGAAGCUGUGGUAAGACACAGUGGAGGCCCGAACUCACCGCCGUUGAAAAGUUGGGAGAUGAGGUAGGUUUAGGGGUGAAAAGCCAAUCGAACCAGGAGAUAGCUCGUUCUCUCCGAAAUGCAUUUAGGUGCAGCCUUGAGUGUUCAAUUAUGGGGGUAGAGCACUGAAUGACCUAGGGGGCAUACUGCUUACCGAAGUCAAUCAAACUCCGAAUACCAUAAUUCUAGAGCUCAGGAGUGAGACUAUGGGAAUUAACUUCCAUGGUCAAAAGGGAAACAACCCAGACCACCAGCUAAGGUCCCUAAUUAUAACUAAGUGGGAAAGGAGGUGGAGAUUCACAAACAACCAGGAGGUUGGCUUAGAAGCAGCCAUACCUUUAAAGAGUGCGUAAUAGCUCACUGGUCGAGAGUCUCUGCGCCGACAAUGUAACGGGGCUAAGUUAUAAACCGAAGCUGUGGAGUUGCGUAAGCGACUGGUAGGAGAGCGUUCUGUAGGCCGUUGAAGGAGAAUCGACAAGAGACUCUGGAGGUAUCAGAAGUGAGAAUGCAGGAAUAAGUAGCGAGAAUGGGGGCGAGAAUCCCCCACGCCGGAAGACCAAGGGUUCCAGGGUAAAGUUUGUCUCCCCUGGGUAAGCCGGGUCCUAAGCCGAGGCUAGAUUGCGUAGGCGAAUGGAAAACAGAUUAAUAUUUCUGUGCCACUGAUAUCAAGUGAUGGAGGGACGCAGGAGGUUAUGCACGCUGGCGAACGGAAGUGCCAGUUCAAGCAUGUAGCGUGGUCUAGUAGGAAAAUCCGCUAGACUAAACGUGAGGUGUGAUGAGGAGUCGUAAGAUGGAAGGUGCAAAUACCACACUGCCGAGAAAAGCUUCUAAGCGUUAUAAAGAUAUUAGUGCCCGUACCCCAAACCGACACAGGUGGUCAGGAUGAGAAAUCUAAGGCGGACAGGCUAACUCUCGUUAAGGAACUCUGCAAAAUAGCCCCGUAACUUCGGGAGAAGGGGUGCCUUUUAUGGUGAGCGUACACGCGACGCAAAGCUAUGAGAGGCCGCAGUGAAGAGUCUCAGGCGACUGUUUAACAAAAACACAGGUCUAUGCUAAGCUGUAAGGCGACGUAUAUGGGCUGACACCUGCCCAGUGCCGGAAGGUUAAGAGGAGGAGUGAGAGCUCCGAAUUGAAGCCCCGGUGAACGGCGGCCGUAACUAUAACGGUCCUAAGGUAGCGAAAUUCCUUGUCGGGUAAGUUCCGACCUGCACGAAUGGUGUAACGAUCUGAGAGCUGUCUUGACGGGAGGCCUGGUGAAAUUGUAUUACCGGUGAAGAUACCGGUUACCUGCAGUAGGACGGAAAGACCCCAUGGAGCUUUACUGUAGCUUGGUAUUGGGUUUUGGCAUCGUAUGUAUAGGAUAGUUGGGAGACUAUGAUGCGUGGUCGCUAGAUUACGCGGAGUCACUGGUGGAAUACCAACCAUACUAUGUCGGAAUUCUAAUUUGAGGUUUGUACCCUCGAAGACAGUGCUAGGUGGGCAGUUUGACUGGGGCGGUCGCCUCCGAAAGAGUAACGGAGGCGUUCAAAGGUUCUCUCAGGUUGGAUGGAAAUCAACCGCAGAGUGCAAUGGCAUAAGAGAGCUUAACUGCGAGACUGACGGGUCGAGCAGGUGCGAAAGCAGGACAUAGUGAUCCGGCGAUUCCGAAUGGAAGGGUCGUCGCUCAACGGAUAAAAGCUACCCUGGGGAUAACAGGCUGAUUCUACCCGAGAGUCCAUAUCGACGGUAGAGUUUGGCACCUCGAUGUCGGCUCAUCGCAUCCUGGGGCUGGAGAAGGUCCCAAGGGUUGGGCUGUUCGCCCAUUAAAGCGGUACGUGAGCUGGGUUCAGAACGUCGUGAGACAGUUCGGUCCCUAUCCACUGUAGGCGUUAGAGUAUUGAGAAGAUCUGUCCUUAGUACGAGAGGACCGGGAUGGACAAACCUCUGAUGUACCAGUUGUCACGCCAGUGGCACAGCUGGGUAGUCACGUUUGGAACAGAUAACCGCUGAAAGCAUCUAAGCGGGAAACUGACUUCAAGAUAAGUACUCUUUAAGAUACCUUCGAGACUAGGAGGUUGAUAGGUUGGGGGUGUAAGAGUUGUGAGACUUUUAGCUGACCAAUACUAAUAUAUCGAAGUUUUAACCUUAAUAUACUACUAUAUAGUUUC
rnacentral:rRNA from 1 species